AUUGAACGCUGGCGGCAGGCCUAACACAUGCAAGUCGAACGAGUGGCGGACGGGUGAGUAAUGUCUGGGAAACUGCCUGAUGGAGGGGGAUAACUACUGGAAACGGUAGCUAAUACCGCAUACCAUCAGAAGUGCCCAGCUGGGAUUAGCUAGUUGGUGGGGUAACGGCUAACCUAGGCGACGAUCCCUAGCUGGUCUGGGAGGAUGACCAGCCACACUGGAACUGCGACACUGUCCAGACUCCUACGGGAGGCAGCAGUGGGGAAUAUUGCACAAUGGGUGCAAGCCGGAUACAGCCAUGCCGCGUGUAUGAAGAAAGCCUUCGGGUUGUAAAGUACUUUCAGCGGGGAGGCGUUACCCGCAGAAGAAGCACCGGCUAACUCCGUGCCAGCAGCCGCGGUAAUUC
rnacentral:rRNA from 1 species